UACAGAGGUGGCAAGCGUUGUUCGGAAUUACUGGGCGUAAAGGGCGUGCAGGCGGUUUGUUAAGUGCAGGGUGAAAGCUCCCGGCUCAACUGGGAGAGGUCCUUGCAUACUGGCAAACUCGAGGGAGGCAGAGGAAAGUGGAAUUCCCGGUGUAGUGGUGAUAUGCGUAGAUAUCGGGAGGAACACCUGUGGCGAAGGCGGCUUUCUGGGCCUUACCUGACGCUGAGACGCGAAAGCGUGGGGAGCGAACCGG
rnacentral:rRNA from 1 species